AUGCAUAUUCGACUUGUUGUGCUACAGAGCCAGUGCUCCAAUGCAUAUUCGACUUGUUGUGCUACAAAGCCAGAAGCGCUACCAGUGGAAACACCCUCAUCGGAUAUGCUUGUUGAUUCCUUCGGGAGGCCUACUGCAUUCGGAUUUAUUGUUCCGUACUGGAAGUGCCUGAAGAGCUUGAAUCGUCCAUUUUGUAUUAGAAUGAGAUUUAAGAUUCAGUACAGGAGUCAAGAUGUUAAUGAGAGGCGAUCUAGAAUGAUUACAGGUAUUAAUGAAGUAGACCCCAUUAGGUGGAUUGGUUCAAAAUGGAAAAGCCUGCUGGUAAGAUGGGAUGAUGGCUCAGACUGUAACAGCCAAAAUAAACCAUCUCCAUGGGAGAUCGAGAUAGUUGGUGGCUCAGUCUCCAUUGCCCAGUCUGUCAAAAUCCAGUUCUAA
rnacentral:rRNA from 1 species